ensembl:lncRNA
CAGGCAAUACCCCACCUUCUUCUCAUAAGAGGCAUAUAGCCAACACCCCAUCAUACUGGUAAUCAGGGCCCUGGAUAAUGUGGGGUUUGUUUGCUGCUAAUAUAGCCAUUGUAUCUACCCUAGCUGCAGAGCCCUGCUCCUGAACUGAGGCACCAGGACUGCAAGUUACAGCUCUGCUGGCUGAGAGCUUUCUGAAUGGGAACACAGAGCAACCCUCCCUGUCUCUACACAUUCUAGCUCAGCAACGUGUGCUACACCCAUUCAUCUGAACGCAGAAAUAGCUCUGAAACUCAUGAUAAGGCCUUAAAUGCCAUCACACAGCUCAUUUAUUUCCCCACUGUCCCGAAGUGCUUCCCAGGUGCUGAAAUCCUGGCUGCCAAAACCUCCAUAGCCUCUGCCGACAACCUCAGUGACAUAGCUCUGCGUUGCAGCACCUUCCCUGCUGCUGCGGGCAGGGUGCUGCCAGAGGCUGUGCGUUCAGCCACAAGACGCCAGGAGCACUGAGGGUGGUCGCUGUGCCUGGCACGCAGCUGGGGAACCGAGGCCCCUAAGGGACGUGCCAUGUCCCCACACAGAGGGGAAGCGUGUGCCAGAGCAGCAGCAGCAGCCGGUGCCUCUCUUUUUCCAUGCGUCUGUCCCCUCCUCAAAGCAAUUUAGCAAUUUUCUUCGCCUUGAUGCCAGUGGCAUUACAUAAGUGUAACCUGGUUGUGAGAUCACGAUACGACACGUCGAUUAGCCAGGGAGGCACAAGGUCAUAACCAGCCUGAGGAAGGAGAGGCAGGCUGUGCAUACACACAAACACACCUAGGUGGAUGUAUAUAAACACACGUGGGCCCCUGGUGUUCCCAUCGCAGAUGUGCUGUGCGUGGCACAUGUCAGCCGGGGCAGGCUAUCGACCGCUGCCUGUGUUUCUGCAUCAGAACCUUUCGGUUUUCCCUUUCAGGCUUGGAGUUACUUCUCUUUUACAUAAAUAGCACCACUCGAGGCUGCCUUCCCGAUAGGUGGAAUAGUUUCCCCUUGAGAAGGAACUGGUGGAAAUCCCCUCUCUUGAGACAUUUUAACUCUGCCAAAAAAUGUACAAUGGGAGUGACUGCUUUAACUAGCAAGCUGACUUUGGAUGAGCUAAUGGAUUUUUCCAUCACUAGUGUCUAGUUCCAGGGAUUUCCAUGAAUUGCUGUCAGGACAGAAGAAGGCAACAGAUUGCAACUGCGGGAUCUGCUGUUUCAGCUCCACUGACACGUCAUUCCCUCAGGACACCCAGUGACCUGGUUAAUCUAGUUCCUUGCUUCUGACUUCUCCUCGUAAAUGAUUUAUCAACUGGCGUGGAUCCCUGUUUGCUUAAGGAGGCGUGUGACGACCUCUCGCAGGCUGGCUGCACAGAGCCACGGCUGUGUUUGGCAGCCGGCUGCCGGCCGCAGCUCGUGACCCUUGGCUGGGGGAGCAGGGGAUGGGCAGCAGAGCCCGGUGGGUGAUGUUUAUGAGGCUGGCCGGAGGGCGCUGGUGACCAAGCUGCAGGCUCGGCAGUGGGAGCACUCGCCUAGGACCUGCCUCAGCCCACUCUGACCCCCAGGGUAUGAAGGCGCGGUGGGCAGAGGGUUGGCGUGGGCUGUGACUGCCCGCCACGGGAGCGCCAGCUGCACCAGAGCCAUCCUUGAGGUCCCUGCUCUCCACGGAGGAAAUAACGCCAACUUUGGUCCGUUGCCUUGUCCACAGCGAGGCAGCAUCCGUGGGGUGACAUCAGUGUCACGUCUGAAGCAGAUGCAGCUCUGGAAGUCUUCACGUGCACACGUAGGGGCAGCACGUGGCAGUAAGGCGAGGAGGAAGCCCACCACAGCCAGCCCACUCCCCAGCAGCGCCGUGUCGCACCACCCGAAGGCCACACAUCAUCAGGAGGGCUGGGCUGCAGCGAGGAACCUGCAGCCACAUGCAGGCAGAGGCAAGGUAGCAGGAAGGCCAGAUUGCUUCUCUGACAGCUCCGUGACCUGACAGCUGCCCACAGUCUGAGCAGUGCUGCUCCUGACCAGGAGAGCCAACCUGCUGCGAGCUGCUGCAGCUCAGUGCACGAGUGCUGGGGGAACAUCCAGCUCGCAGGACGGCUAUUCACUAAGGGCCCCAACAGGACAUCCUUCCUGUAUUAGUAUUGCCUCCCUGAACUAUCAAUUAAAAAGAACGCCACAAUUCUGUACCCUGUGGAUGCCGCCUGCCUUCUGUGCGCGCACAAAUCCCGCUACGAGAGGUACUGUAAGUACUGAGGUGUUAAAGACGCCAGAGGGUGCCCAGUGGGAUUUCAGAAGAGCAGCGGUCCCGACUGCUUUGGAUGUCAGCGCAGGUCGGACGUGUGAGCCCCAGGCCCCGCCUGUAGGGCCCCACCACCUUUGGAAUCUGGUUCCCUCAGCUCCCUCUGUGAAUACGGCAGUUAGCUCCCAGGGUAUUGCGAGGAUGGAAAAAGUAAAGACUAUGAGUUCUCAGGAAAUAUUGAAACGGGGUCAACUGAGUAACAUUUAAGUCAAUUAGAAAGACGGUCUGUUAACAGUCUGUUAAUAGCUGGCUGAGAUGGAUUCCCAUGAUUCCCGGUGCCAGCAUCUCCGCUCACACAAGGAAAUAUUUAUGACUCUUCUCCCUCAAAAGCCCGGUUAACCUCAUUUAAAGCAGAGAGCACGAAGAUAGAUCUAUCAACAUUAGGGACAUCAACUCUCCCUUUUUGUCCCCACGAUUACAAGAGAAAAGGAGAAUUCAAACCUUAAAGUGGGAAGUGAAUUACGCAGAGUGGCCGCAGAUGGGAGCCAUUAAAUGCCCGGCUGCGUUUUUUUAAUUGAAACAAUACAGCAAUUUACUAUACAAAUAGCUCUGGCAGAGCGCUGCUCUGGUGCUGUGGAAGCUGCCCGCCCCGCGUCCCACGGGUCACACACGGCAGCACGGCGCGGACCUCCCGCUCCCAGCACAGCCGCCGGCACCCGGGGCGAGGCGCACCCCUGGGCACAGCACCGCGGCUCCGCCUCGCUUUCCAGACGACUCCAGGAACGUCAGGACGAGCUCCCAGCGGCAGCUCCCGGCCCAUUACCAAAUACAGAGUCCAGAGGGAAGCGAGUCCUCGCUCCUCCUUUUGGGCGAGGCGAAGGGGAAAAAACAAAGCCGGAUGGGUCCCACUGUCAUCUUGACUGCCCGCGGGUUUUGGUCUGAGCUCCCGAAGCUUUAGGCCUGCCUGUAAGUCCAGCUUUGAAAGGGAAGGCGUUUAUUUUCAGUUUUCUGACGAGUGAGUAAUGGGGCUGCCAUCUAGAGGCCACUGCAACUUUCCAGCACAUUCCUUCGGACAGGAGUGGCAUUGUCAAUAACCUCCUCCUCCCACUACCUCCUCAUGAAGGACUUCUCGCUUCUAAAUGAAACUGUUACAGUACAAAGCACUUCUCCAUCCACAUCCCUGCCCACGGCGGCGGGCUGGAACUGGGUGAUCUUUAGCGUCCCCUCCAACCUGAGCCAUUCUAUGAUUGUGUCAUCUCUCAUUCAACGAUUGCAAAUUCUGCCUCAAUCAAUCCGGCUUAAGAAGGAGCUCUACUGAUAGGUAAUCUGUGUAUCCACUGCAGGAAUGGGAUGCUGGGAGUGCUGGCUCUAUGAGUCUCAGCUCCAUCCUUCCAUCCUGUCCCUGAGCUGAACAGCACCAGCCAAACUGGGCCAAACUCAGCGGGAUCCACUUUAGACCCUGCCUUGCAUAGAAAUCAGCUGCUGCAAAUGUGAACAGGAGGCAGAUACAGGGCAGCCAUGGCCACCCACCACUCACCACGUGAGCUGCCUGCUCACUUGUGCUAAACCCUGUGCCCAAGUGGAGCGGCCCGGCAGGCUGCAGGGCAGCAGGGAGUGAGGGCCGCACUGUGCUGCGCAGGCCUGGCAGCAGAGGAACCCCACUCCAGUGCUUUGCAGAGCACUUCAAAUUUGCUUGCAGACUGCCUGCCUCGCACCCCGCACCCACCAAUUGCAAAAUCCCCUGUUGAUAUGACUAAGAGUCACGCUCUGCAGCCUCAGCUUUGGGUUCUACCUCUCUCGGUCCUGAAAUGGGGACAGGGAAGUGCCAGAUGCUUUCUGUUCUCCUUGCUCAGGACUCUGCGACCAUGGGUGUUUUUGAGUCAGCGGUGCUCAAGGGACCUUUCAGUCAGCAUAACUGCGUGAGUGGCCAAAUAAAAACAGGCCCAAACGCCAAUGGGGCUCUGCUUACAUCAAGGAAAGGGGAAGCAGCUCUUCUACAGCGAGCGCUAGCGAAGUUCUGCAAGAGGCGGCUAAAAAUAGGGCUGCCCUCUACAACACUUCCGUCCUGCCUUUGACACGCUCGCGGCUUUCAUGUCCCAUCGGCCCCGCCAUUUCCUCGCCCCACACUCGGCAUCGCCCCACAGCCCUUCCUGUCCGCGCGGGGCUUUGAAGCAUGGGCAGCUCCCUCACGCCAGAUGGCAGAGGGCACUUCCUCUGCUUUCUUCACUCUUUUUGAGUGCUUUGGUCACAAGUGAGAAGUGGGGCGGGUCCCGGUGAAGGUCUCGCCCCAAGAAGACGCUGGAAGACCCAGAGGUGACCAAGACAAGGAAGGCGUUCCACAGUGGAGUGUUUUCAAGGGUGUUUUCCUCGGUAAAUGAAAUGAUGGGAAGUGUUUCUGUCGAUACCUCCAGGACAACAUUCCCAAGUAUUGGCUUUCAGUUUUGGCAUUUGUUCCUGGAGGAUCGGGGGCUGGAAAUGGCACAGACCUGCUUCUCGGAAUUAGCAGGAAAACAAAGGAGCAAUGUGCAGGAGGGGAUGUGAAGGGGCCGAUGCCUGUCAGCAGGCAGUGACACCGCACGGCUGGCAGAUGAUGGCCCAUGGAAGAUGGCAGCACAGCAGCAGCAGCGUGCCAUCAGAGCAGCAGAGCCCUGGUUCUGCCUGCAUGUCUGUGAGAAGAGGCACGGGACAGAGCUCAAUGUGGGCGGGCUGUUAGGCUGAGGAAAAGGCGAUGACUUCUCUUAACCUCAGUGAAGCAGACUGUUGAGAAGGCCUGUGCAUUUGCCCAGGGUUUUCCAGAUGCUGAGUAAAUAAAAUCUCUGAGAAGCUGGA